rnacentral:rRNA from 1 species
AUGCCGCCGCCGCCGCCGGUACCAUCGCUGCUGGACGAGCUCCUCGAGGAGAUCUUCCUCCGCCUCCCGCCGGGCGAGCCAGAGCACCUCGCGCGCGCCUCCCUCGCCAGCAAGCUCUGGCUCGGCCGCCUCACCGGCCCUCGCUUCCGCGGCCGCUACCGUGAGCGCCAUGGACCUCCCCCCAUGCUGGGCUUCCUUCAUACCUGGCUGGAGGGCUGCGGCCCGGAGGGAAAAGAUCCCGUCCCGGACUUCACACUCACCACGAAAUUCGGCGCGCGCGUCCCCGACGAUGACGACUGCGGGUACCACAAGUACGAUGCGUGGGACUGCCGCCAUGGCCGCGUUCUCCUUGGGGACGAGAACAUGUUGCCCAUCGCGGUCGUCGUCUGGGACCCCAUGACGGGCCGCCGGAAGGACCUGCCGGAGCCCGACCUAGUGAACGACAGCUAUGGGGCCGCGGUGCUCUGCGCCGUGCCUGGCUGCGACCACGGCGCGUGUCACGCCGGCCCCUUCGAGGUCGUCUUUGUUGGCCUGGGCAUGCGUGAAGACGAUGGUGCCGGAUGCGUUGCGCAGGCGUGCGUGUCGUUGCCGGACACCGGUGACUGGAGCAUGCCGUGCCCUAUAUUUGAUCACCAUCACUGGGGCGAGCCGUGCUCUGGUCUUCAUCUUGAAGCCGACGCAUUCGUCGACCGAAUGCCCCCUGUCCUCGUCAAAGAAGCAGUUCACUUCAUGCUUGUGUAUGCUCGUGAUGGCCAUGUAGAAAUUCUCAAGUACGACUUGAGAUGUAGUUGCUUAUCACUGGUUGAUGUGCCGCUUGUGGGGCCUGGCAUUUACGGUGCCGCUAUCCUCAUGGCGAUGCAGGAUGGCAGUUUGGGGUUUGCACAUGUGGAUGGGUUAACCCUCUACAUCUGGUCCAGAGAAAUGGAUUUCAACAGAGCUGGGUCAUGGAGUGAACGUACAAUUAUCGAUCUCAGGAAUCUUCUCCCCAUCCAAAAUCCCGAGGAAAGACUUAGACUGAUUGGAUCCGUUGAGGGCAGUGAUACCGUUUUCGUGACCACAGACCUGGGAAUCUACGAGAUGAAUGUCAAGUCACAGCGAUGGAAGGAGAUAUGGAAGAGCGAGGAAUUUCGUGCUUUGAUUCCAUACAUGAGUUUCUACAAUCCACAAGAAAGGGUGAUGCCCUGUGACGCGGCACAUUGA